ACCGGGGCGGACAGCAUAUGAAGGUCAGGCUGAAGACUUACCCGAUUAGCUGAGAGGUGGUGCAUGGCCGUCGUCAGUUCGUACUGUGAAGCAUCCUGUUAAGUCAGGCAACGAGCGAGACCCACGUCCACAGUUGCCAGCAUACCCUCCGGGGUGAUGGGUACACUGUGGAGACCGCCGCUGCUAAAGCGGAGGAAGGAGUGGGCAACGGUAGGUCAGUAUGCCCCGAAUCUCCCGGGCUACACGCGGGCUACAAUGGUUGGUACAAUGGGCAUCUACCCCGAAAGGGGAAGGAAAUCUCUUAAAGCCAAUCGUAGUUCGGAUUGAGGGCUGCAACUCGCCCUCAUGAAGCUGGAAUCCGUAGUAAUCGCGUUUCAACAGAACGCGGUGAAUACGUCCCUGCUCCUU
rnacentral:rRNA from 1 species